rnacentral:ncRNA from 1 species
GUAAUCGUGAGAUUACAUCUGAAGAAAGCAGGACUACAAAUUCUGGUACUGACGAACAGGAACCUUAUAUGAGGCUAUUAGGUUGGAUAAGCAAGCACAUCAUUGUAAAGUCCAAAACAUGGAAAGUGAUAACCGAAAUAGUAGAUAAGGCAGGGAUCAGAAGAAAAAAGACGCUCUU